GAUGAACGCUAGCGGCAGGCUUAAUACAUGCAAGUCGAGGGGCAACAGGGGUAGCAAUACCUGCUGGCGACCGGCAAACGGGUGCGGAACACGUACAGAACCUUCCUUUAAGCGGGGAUAGCCCGGACGAAAUCCGGAUUAAUACCCCACUAGUAAUAUUGGUUGGCAUCAACUGGUAUUUAAAGAUUUAUCACUUAGAGAUGGCUGUGCGGCUGAUUAGGUAGUUGGUGUGGGUAACGGCCCACCAAGCCAGCGAUCAGUAACUGGU
rnacentral:rRNA from 1 species